rnacentral:misc_RNA from 1 species
GUAGGUGAACCUGCGGAAGGAUCAUUACUAGAGCAAAGGAUAGACUCUAACCCUACUUCGGUAGGGUUUAGAGUCGUCGGGCCUCUCGGAGAAGCUCGGUCCUGAACUCCACCCUUGAAUAAAUUACCUUUGUUGCUUUGGCGGGCCGCCUCGUGCCAGCGGCUUCGGCUGUUGAGUGCCCGCCAGAGGACCACAACUCUUGUUUUUAGUGAUGUCUGAGUACUAUAUAAUAGUUAAAACUUUCAACAACGGAUCUCUUGGUUCUG